GUCGCAAGACCAAAGAGGGGGACCUUCGGGCCUCUUGCCAUCGGAUGUGCCCAGAUGGGAUUAGCUAGUAGGUGGGGUAACGGCUCACCUAGGCGACGAUCCCUAGCUGGUCUGAGAGGAUGACCAGCCACACUGGAACUGAGACACGGUCCAGACUCCUACGGGAGGCAGCAGUGGGGAAUAUUGCACAAUGGGCGCAAGCCUGAUGCAGCCAUGCCGCGUGUAUGAAGAAGGCCUUCGGGUUGUAAAGUACUUUCAGCGGGGAGGAAGGGAGUAAAGUUAAUACCUUUGCUCAUUGACGUUACCCGCAGAAGAAGCACCGGCUAACUCCGUGCCAGCAGCCGCGGUAAUACGGAGGGUGCAAGCGUUAAUCGGAAUUACUGGGCGUAAAGCGCACGCAGGCGGUUUGUUAAGUCAGAUGUGAAAUCCCCGGGCUCAACCUGGGAACUGCAUCUGAUACUGGCAAGCUUGAGUCUCGUAGAGGGGGGUAGAAUUCCAGGUGUAGCGGUGAAAUGCGUAGAGAUCUGGAGGAAUACCGGUGGCGAAGGCGGCCCCCUGGAC
rnacentral:rRNA from 1 species